ACGCUUACCAGGCGGGGGAGGUACCAUGAUCACGAAGGAAGUUCGUUUUCCCAGGGUGAGGCUUAUCCAUUGCACUCAGGAUGUGCUGACCUCUGCGAUUUCCCCAAAUACGGAAAAUUGGAUAGCACAGUUUGUGGUAGUGGAGGACUACGUUCGUGCUCUCCCA